CCCACGCAUAUUCGUAUCGUACAGCGGCGGUACAGUCAUGUUGGAACCACUGUCUGUGUUGGAACUUUGAAUACGUGCUGUCAAUAUGAUGCUGUUUACCAUUGAUGAUGUUCGAUUACUAGUGAAGGCAAAUGGAUGAGAAGAAAGAGGCUUGAAGUUAUCUGCAAGCCCAGGCCAGCAAAAUGACGUAAGAAAUGGAGAACCUGUAGAUGCAGGGUGUUGGCGGACCCAAGACCACUGGUGCUGGACCACCCAGACGAAGAACAGACACUUCCAACAUUCCCUCACCUCAUCCCGUGCUUCUAGUCGGAGAUCCAAGCCAAAGAAUCGAUCCACGGGAAGUGUUCACUCAGAUUCAAUUUAAUCGCCUUGCAAAAGACCUUCAUCAAAUUUCGAAACUAGAACGCUAUUUUGUUAUCGGAAGAGACAGAGGUAUCCUACCGAAUCAAAUUCUUACCAGUGUGGACUGAGUUUGCCCUCCAGUCAAACUGAUUGAAGAAAAUUCGCCGCAGCCGCAAACCUCUUGUGGUUAUUCCAUGAAAAUUGAUUUGGAAUUCGAUCAAGUGCUGCCGAAUUUGGAUCGUGGAUCGCAUCAUUCCUUUGGCUGAAGAAGAUCUCUGUUUUCUCAGAUGACCCGGUCCGCUCACAACUUACAUAUCUGGUCCAGGAUCAACUCGGUUAUUCACUCCCGCCAUUUGGGGACUCUUUGGCCGGAUUUUCCGAUCUCGUACCUGUCUCGUACCAAAUGAAGUUGUUGUUCAUUAUUCGAAAUCGGAAACCACCACAGUUCCAGUGAUCGAUCUUCGUCUUAUUAGGGAGUGCCUAGCGUCGCAAUUCCGACAUAAGCGUAAGGCGGUUGUGGCGAAGCCACUGCACAACAUGUGCACAAGUAACAAUGGUUCUAUGCAGAAAUUCUGACAAGAGCUUUUUGACGGAUUGGACAUAGAAAAGAUUCCGUUGAGGAUUCUAGACAAAGAUUUGUGUGGGGGGGGGGGGAGUCAUGUUUUGAAGAUAAGAAAAACUAGUCUGAGCUUUCUUUUCUUUUUGUUUCGAUUGAUAUUCUAUUUCUCUUUGCUCGUUGUACAUCAGUGUGCCUUUUUGUUGGGCAGGGUGGCAGAUAUGUUUUGAUGUGAAAGGCAAACAGAAAAUUAUUUGGUUAUCUAAUGACUAAUAGUUUGGAGCAGAAAACAAAACGAAAAUUGCAAAACGAUGAACAAUUCAUUACUUGACGAGAAGACACCUGGGAUUGGGUUUUUGAUGCGAGGGAUUUUUUUUCCGAUUACCUUUUUCUCUUGAAUCGGGAAAUUCAAUCUGGGAGUACGGACCAUUUUUCAAUUUCUUAAAUUCACAUGCGAAAUUGUUCAUUUUUGUUUGAACUCCUCCCCCCCCCUUUGUUAGGUAAAUGGUGCAUUGCGAAUAUGUUAUGAAUAGAUUUCGAAUUUUCAUUCAUUCUAAAAAUGGAAAGUGAUGAAUGUGUGCAAAAAAUGUUAUCAUAGGGAAUGUAUGCGCUCUUCACAUCGAACCGUCUCUUUUUCGUUUUCUUUCUCCUUUGAUCGUAUUGUCUCAUUCUUUUCAAAUUAGACGACAAUUCUUUGUA
rnacentral:lncRNA from 1 species